rnacentral:rRNA from 1 species
GGGCCCGCACAAGCGGUGGAGUAUGUGGUUUAAUUCGAUGCAACGCGAAGAACCUUACCAGGGUUUGACAUCCUGCGAAUCUCUUGGAAACGAGAGAGUGCCUUCGGGAACGCAGUGACAGGUGGUGCAUGGCUGUCGUCAGCUCGUGUCGUGAGAUGUUGGGUUAAGUCCCGCAACGAGCGCAACCCACGUCUUUAGUUGCCAGCAUUUAGUUGGGCACUCUAGAGAGACUGCCGGUGAUAAACCGGAGAAGGUGUGGAUGACGUCAAGUCAUCAUGCCCCUUACAUCUGGGCUACACACGUACUACAAUGGUAGGGACAAACAGGUUGCCAAACCCCGCGAGGGUGAGCCAAAUCCCCAAAAACCCUAUCUC